CUCCACGGAACAGAGAAUGGUUUUUAGAGUAACAAUGCAUCCAAGGAUAAAGAAGUUCUUCAUGUAUAUUUAUGGGAAAAUUGCUAAGGUGUAGUCUCAAGUCCUAAAAAAGCAAAGUUCAGGAAGUGGACUCCCUGAAGAAACAGGAAAGAGCACAGGAGAUGAGGAACAAACACAGCCAAUGGUGAGGCCCUCAGCAGGGAGCAAGGAGGGGGUGCUGUUGUUAAUAAAAAAAGAAGAAAGAAGAUUUUCAUCUAAAAUGAGAAAAGAGGAGAGAAAACAGCUGCAUUUAUGCAAGAUGGUCCCCACUAGAUCAUCACUAAAAUGAAAGUAAAGGAAUGAAAGAGGAGAGGUAGGAGAGGAAAAAACAAUCUGUGAGAAAUAACAACAUAUAUCAGAAGCUGGAAAGUGCAUGGAGUAGAGCUCAGUGACACAACAGAGCAGAAAAAGCAGAAGCAGAGAGGAAUGAGCGUACAAAGCAAGUCUGAAUUUACCCUGGAGAACCCCACAAAGGCUUGAAACUUGGAAACAUCAUGAACUGCUGGGCCAGAGGGAGUUAAUUUUCUUACAGUUUUGGAGGCUGGAAACCCAAGAUCAAGGACUCCUCGUCGCCAUCUUGUCUGCCCAGCUUCCCGUAGCCAUCCUCGCCUGCCUUCUCGCGCUGUUUCUAGCUCUCGCCAUCCCUCGGCGUACUCUUCCUCUCCUCCGAGUCAGAGUACCCUGGAGGGAUAAUGCUCUGCAGGUCUGCAGGAUGAUGGUGGGAAUCUGCACUGACCUCUUCUAGUCAGUCACUUUCCUGUAUGUGCAACUUUUGGUGACAAGAUGCAUGAACCCAACUGGAACCAGCUGAAGAUUAUGGAGUUGCUCUCAGCGUCCACUAAAAGCCAGAAUCCAGGCUUUGGGAAGGAAAGGUGAGGUUCUUGCUAUGUUGCCUAGGCUGGUCUUGAACUUCUGGCCUCAAGAAAUCCUCCUCCUGAUCCUCCUACCUCAGCCUUCCAAAGUGUUGGGAUUACAGGUGCUGCCCUGGUCUGUUGCGAGCAUGUCAAGGAGGUUUCUCACUUCCUCACAGGACGUGUGGGAUCAUCUCCCAGAUGAACUACCAGUUCCUAAGUAUUUGUCUGAAGGACUGGCUAGAACUUCCAUCCCUGUGGUGAAUAAGAGUGAUGAAAGUGGACACCAUCGUAUUAUUGAAUUGAAGGGGCAUGAGUGGAGCACAGAAUUUUCUGCUGGGUUUGGCUGGAGAUGAGCUGCUAUUUUCUUUCAAACCUCUUCUGUGAUAAUCAUAGAACUGUAGCAUCAGAAGGCAAUUCCCUAAGUGUGGUCUGCCCACAUCCCUGGUGGUAAGCCAAAUGAUCGUAAGUGGUAGAGCGGCAAUUACUUUUAAAAAAUUUGACAGUCAUAUAUCUAUUUCAAUGUAUAGCAAAUAUAGAAUUGGAACAUCAAACCACCUCUGAAAACGUGUUUAGAGAGAGAGUGAAGAAUGAGGGUGUACCUGGCGGAGCCACCAUCCUCUGCCACUUCUGAAACAAGCAGGUCUUCAGGCAGUCUCGGGGACUGAGGUUGUAAGUUUUAUGUCUCGACAUCAGUUCCUGCAUUGGCUCCAAUAUUACACACAACUGCAAGAAGUUCAAAGACAUUGGCAUUUCACUACUUCAUAACACUAAUUACAAUAAAUAAUGCUAACAGCUGGAAUCAAGUAGUGUAGAUGGAUAACAUGACCACAAGAGU
rnacentral:lncRNA from 1 species